rnacentral:rRNA from 1 species
GACGAACCGAGCGACCGUUAUUCGGAAUCACUGGGCUUAAAGGGCGCGUAGGCGGGCCGUCAAGUCAGGGGUGAAAGCCCCCAGCUCAACUGUGGAAGUGCCUCUGAUACUGGCGGCCUCGAGGGAGGUAGGGGCGUGCGGAACUUCCGGUGGAGCGGUGAAAUGCGUAGAUAUCGGAAGGAACACCGGUGGCGAAAGCGGCGCGCUGGACCUCUUCUGACGCUGAGGCGCGAAAGCCAGGGGAGCGAACGGG